rnacentral:rRNA from 2 species
ACACGACUCUCGACAAUGGAUAUCUCGGCUCUCGCAUCGAUGAAGAGCGCAGCGAAAUGCGAUACGUGGUGCGAAUUGCAGAAUCCCGCGAACCAUCGAGUCUUUGAACGCAAGUUGCGCCCGAGGCCAGUCGGUCGAGGGCACGUCCGCCUGGGCGUCAAGC